CCCUAGGAACACAUUCUCUUUCUCAGG
rnacentral:piRNA from 1 species